rnacentral:rRNA from 1 species
GAUGAACGCUGGCGGCGUGCCUAAUACAUGCCAGUCGAGCGAACAGACGAGGAGCUUGCUCCUCUGACGUUAGCGGCGGACGGGUGAGUAACACGUGGAUAACCUACCUAUAAGACUGGGAUAACUUCGGGAAACCGGAGCUAAUACCGGAUAAUAUAUUGAACCGCAUGGUUCAAUAGUGAAAGACGGUUUUGCUGUCACUUAUAGAUGGAUCCGCGCCGCAUUAGCUAGUUGGUAAGGUAACGGCUUACCAAGGCAACGAUGCGUAGCCGACCUGAGAGGGUGAUCGGCCACACUGGAACUGAGACACGGUCCAGACUCCUACAGGAGGCAGCAGUAGGGAAUCUUCCGCAAUGGGCGAAAGCCUGACGGAGCAACGCCGCGUGAGUGAUGAAGGUCUUCGGAUCGUAAAACUCUGUUAUUAGGGAAGAACAAAUGUGUAAGUAACUAUGCACGUCUUGACGGUACCUAAUCAGAAAGCCACGGCUAACUACGU